GGAAUAUUCCGCAAUGGGCGAAAGCCUGACGGAGCGACGCCGCGUGGACGAUGAAGGCCGGAAGGUUGCAGAGUCCUUUGGCGCGCGAGGAAGGAGAGGGGGACUGGAAAGCCCCCUCGGUGACUGUAGCGCGAGAACAAGCACCGGCUAAUUACGUGCCAGCAGCCGCGGUAACACGUAAGGUGCGAGCGUUGUGCGGAAUUAUUGGGCGUAAAGGGCAUGUAGGCGGCCAGGUAAGUCGGGCGUGAAAUCCCGGGGCUCAACCCCGGGGCCGCGCCCGAUACUGCGUGGCUCGAGUCGGCGAGGCGGAGGCGGAAUUCCUGGUGUAGGGGUGAAAUCUGUAGAUAUCAGGAAGAACACCGGUGGCGAAGGCAGCCUCCGAGCGCGCGACUGACGCUGAGGUGCGAAGGUGCGGGGAGCAAACA
rnacentral:rRNA from 1 species